UACGUAGGGUGCAAGCGUUAAUCGGAAUUACUGGGCGUAAAGCGUGCGCAGGCGGUUGUGCAAGACAGAUGUGAAAUCCCCGGGCUCAACCUGGGAACUGCAUUUGUGACUGCACGGCUAGAGUGUGUCAGAGGGGGGUAGAAUUCCACGUGUAGCAGUGAAAUGCGUAGAGAUGUGGAGGAAUACCGAUGGCGAAGGCAGCCCCCUGGGAUAGCACUGACGCUCAUGCACGAAAGCGUGGGGAGCAAACAGG
rnacentral:rRNA from 1 species